rnacentral:rRNA from 1 species
CCUACGGGUGGCAGCAGUGGGGAAUAUUGGACAAUGGGCGAAAGCCUGAUCCAGCCAUGCCGCGUGUGUGAAGAAGGCCUUCGGGUUGUAAGGCACUUUCAGUGGGGAAGAAAGCCUUGGGGCUAAUACCCUCGAGGAAGGACAUCACCCACAGAAGAAGCACCGGCUAACUCCGUGCCAGCAGCCGCGGUAAUACGGAGGGUGCGAGCGUUAAUCGGAAUUACUGGGCGUAAAGCGCGCGUAGGCGGUCUGAUAAGCCGGUUGUGAAAGCCCCGGGCUCAACCUGGGAACGGCAUCCGGAACUGUCAGGCUAGAGUGCAGGAGAGGAAGGUAGAAUUCCCGGUGUAGCGGUGAAAUGCGUAGAGAUCGGGAGGAAUACCAGUGGCGAAGGCGGCCUUCUGGACUGACACUGACGCUGAGGUGCGAAAGCGUGGGUAGCAAACAGGAUUAGAUACCCUAGUAGUC